rnacentral:rRNA from 1 species
GACGAACGCUGGCGGCGUGCUUAACACAUGCAAGUCGAACGGAAAGGCCCUGCUUUUGUGGGAUGCUCGAGUGGCGAACGGGUGAGUAACACGUGCGUAACCUGCCCUUGACUUUGGGAUAACUUCAGGAAACUGGGGCUAAUACCGGAUAGGAGCUCCUGCUGCAUGGAGGGGGUUGGAAAGUUUCGGCGGUUGGGGAUGGACUCGCGGCUUAUCAGCUUGUUGGUGGGGUAGUGGCUUACCAAGGCUUUGACGGGUAGCCGGCCUGAGAGGGUGACCGGCCACAUUGGGCCUGAGAUACGGCCCAGACUCCUACGGUAGGCAGCAGUGGGGAAUAUUGCACAAUGGGCGGAAGCCUGAUGCAGCAACGCCGCGUGCGGGAUGACGGCCUUCGGGUUGUAAACCGCUUUCGCCUGUGACGAAGCGUGAGUGACGGUAAUGUGUAAAGAAGCACCGGCUAACUACGUG